CCUACGGGAGACAGCAGUAGGGAAUCUUCCACAAUGGACGAAAGCCUGAUGGAGCAACGCCGCGUGAGUGAAGAAGGUCUUCGGCUCGUAAAGCUCUGUUGGUAGAGAAGAAAGUUAGAGUGAGUAACUGUUCUUGUUUUGACGGUAUCUACUUAGAAAGUCCCGGCUAACUACGUGCCAGCAGCCGCGGUAAUACGUAGGUGGCAAGCGUUGUCCGGAUUUAUUGGGGGUAAAGGGAGUGCAGGCGGUCCGAUAAGUCCGAUGUGAAAUCCCGCGGCUCAACCGGAGAAUUGCAUUAGAAACUGUCGAACUUGAGUGCAGGAGAGGAAGGCGGAAUUCGUGGUGUAGCGGUGAAAUGCGUAGAUAUAACGAAGAACACCGGUGGCGAAGGCGGCUCGCUGGACUGCAACUGACGCUGAGGCUCGAAAGCGUGGGUAGCGAACAGGAUUAGAUACCCUAGUAGUC
rnacentral:rRNA from 1 species